rnacentral:tRNA from 1 species
GGCCGUGUGCCCGAGUGGCUUAGGGACUCGCCUGCACUGCAUCCAUCAGCGAGCUCCGCUCGCGGGGAGGUACGUGGGUUCAAUUCCCGCCACGGCUU